GCCCAGACUCCUACGGGAGGCAGCAGUGGGGAAUAUUGCGCAAUGGGGGCAACCCUGACGCAGCAACGCCGCGUGAUUGAAGAAGGCCUUCGGGUUGUAAAGAUCUUUAAUCAGGGACGAAAAAUGACGGUACCUGAAGAAUAAGCUCCGGCUAACUACGUGCCAGCAGCCGCGGUAAUACGUAGGGAGCAAGCGUUAUCCGGAUUUACUGGGUGUAAAGGGCGUGUAGGCGGGCUUGUAAGUCAGAAGUGAAAUCUGGGGGCUUAACCCCCAACCUGCUUUUGAAACUGCGGGUCUUGAGUGAUGGAGAGGCAGGCGGAAUUCCCAGUGUAGCGGUGAAAUGCUUAGAUAUCACGAAGAACCCCGAUUGCGAAGGCAGCCUGCCGCAGCGUUACUGACGCUGAAGCUCGAAAGCGCGGGGAUCGAACAGGAUUAGAUACCCCUGUAGUA
rnacentral:rRNA from 1 species